rnacentral:piRNA from 1 species
UCCAGAUGUGCCCAGUCCUCAACUGUA